rnacentral:rRNA from 1 species
CCUACGGGUGGCAGCAGUGAGGAAUAUUGGUCAAUGGGCGCGAGCCUGAACCAGCCAAGUCGCGUGAAGGAUGACUGCCCUACGGGUUGUAAACUUCUUUUAUCAAGGAAUAAAGUGAGGCACGUGUGCCUUUUUGUAUGUUCUUUAUGAAUAAGGAUCGGCUAACUCCGUGCCAGCCGCCGCGGUAAUACGGAGGAUGCGAGCGUUAUCCGGAUUCAUUGGGUUUAAAGGGUGCGCAGGCGGGCCUUUAAGCCGGCGGUAAAAUCGCGGGGCUCAACCCCGCCGGGCCGUCGGAACUGGGGGCCUUGAGUGGGCCGGAGGCAGGCGGAAUGCGUGGUGUAGCGGUGAAAUGCAUAGAUAUCGCGCAGAACCCCGAUUGCGAAGGCAGCGUUCCGUGGCGCUACUGACGCUGAGGCACGAAAGUGCGGGGAUCGAACAGGAUUAGAUACCCGUGUAGUC